GGGUUGUGAGGUUAAGCGACUAAGCGUACACGGUGGAUGCCCUGGCAGUCAGAGGCGAUGAAGGGCGUGCUAAUCUGCGAUAAGCGCCGGUAAGGUGAUAUGAACCGUUAUAACCGGCGAUACCCGAAUGGGGAAACCCAGUGUGAUUCGUCACACUAUCAUUAACUGAAUCCAUAGGUUAAUGAGGCGAACCGGGGGAACUGAAACAUCUAAGUACCCCGAGGAAAAGAAAUCAACCGAGAUUCCCCCAGUAGCGGCGAGCGAACGGGGAGGAGCCCAGAGCCUGAAUCAGCAUGUGUGUUAGUGGAAGCGUCUGGAAAGGCGCGCGAUACAGGGUGACAGCCCCGUACACAAAAGCGCAUGUGCUGUGAGCUCGAUGAGUAGGGCGGGACACGUGGUAUCCUGUCUGAAUAUGGGGGGACCAUCCUCCAAGGCUAAAUACUCCUGACUGACCGAUAGUGAACCAGUACCGUGAGGGAAAGGCGAAAAGAACCCCGGCGAGGGGAGUGAAAAAGAACCUGAAACCGUGUACGUACAAGCAGUGGGAGCACAGGUUUACCUGUGUGACUGCGUACCUUUUGUAUAAUGGGUCAGCGACUUAUAUUCUGUAGCAAGGUUAACCGUAUAGGGGAGCCGCAGGGAAACCGAGUCUUAACCGGGCGUUAAGUUGCAGGGUAUAGACCCGAAACCCGGUGAUCUAGCCAUGGGCAGGUUGAAGGUUGGGUAACACUAACUGGAGGACCGAACCGACUAAUGUUGAAAAAUUAGCGGAUGACCUGUGGCUGGGGGUGAAAGGCCAAUCAAACCGGGAGAUAGCUGGUUCUCCCCGAAAGCUAUUUAGGUAGCGCCUCGUGAAUUCAUCUCCGGGGGUAGAGCACUGUUUCGGCUAGGGGGCCAUCCCGGCUUACCAACCCGAUGCAAACUGCGAAUACCGGAGAAUGUUAUCACGGGAGACACACGGCGGGUGCUAACGUCCGUCGUGAAGAGGGAAACAACCCAGACCGCCAGCUAAGGUCCCAAAGUCAUGGUUAAGUGGGAAACGAUGUGGGAAGGCCCAGACAGCCAGGAUGUUGGCUUAGAAGCAGCCAUCAUUUAAAGAAAGCGUAAUAGCUCACUGGUCGAGUCGGCCUGCGCGGAAGAUGUAACGGGGCUAAACCAUGCACCGAAGCUGCGGCAGCGAACGUAUCACUUAAAGCGAUUCAGCGGGUUACGAUUGACGGAGCGAAGCGACGUCAAAGCGUAUACAAAGUCGAGUCGGUUUAAGGAUACGUUCGUUGGGUAGGGGAGCGUUCUGUAAGCCUGUGAAGGUGUGUCGUGAGGCAUGCUGGAGGUAUCAGAAGUGCGAAUGCUGACAUAAGUAACGAUAAAGCGGGUGAAAAGCCCGCUCGCCGGAAGACCAAGGGUUCCUGUCCAACGUUAAUCGGGGCAGGGUGAGUCGACCCCUAAGGCGAGGCCGAAAGGCGUAGUCGAUGGGAAACGGGUUAAUAUUCCCGUACUUGGUGUUACUGCGAAGGGGGGACGGAGAAGGCUAUGUUGGCCGGGCGACGGUUGUCCCGGUUUAAGCGUGUAGGCUGGUUUUCCAGGCAAAUCCGGAAAAUCAAGGCUGAGGCGUGAUGACGAGGCACUACGGUGCUGAAGCAACAAAUGCCCUGCUUCCAGGAAAAGCCUCUAAGCAUCAGGUAACAUCAAAUCGUACCCCAAACCGACACAGGUGGUCAGGUAGAGAAUACCAAGGCGCUUGAGAGAACUCGGGUGAAGGAACUAGGCAAAAUGGUGCCGUAACUUCGGGAGAAGGCACGCUGACACGUAGGUGAAGUGAUUUACUCAUGGAGCUGAAGUCAGUCGAAGAUACCAGCUGGCUGCAACUGUUUAUUAAAAACACAGCACUGUGCAAACACGAAAGUGGACGUAUACGGUGUGACGCCUGCCCGGUGCCGGAAGGUUAAUUGAUGGGGUCAGCGCAAGCGAAGCUCCUGAUCGAAGCCCCGGUAAACGGCGGCCGUAACUAUAACGGUCCUAAGGUAGCGAAAUUCCUUGUCGGGUAAGUUCCGACCUGCACGAAUGGCGUAAUGAUGGCCAGGCUGUCUCCACCCGAGACUCAGUGAAAUUGAACUCGCUGUGAAGAUGCAGUGUACCCGCGGCAAGACGGAAAGACCCCGUGAACCUUUACUAUAGCUUGACACUGAACAUUGAGCCUUGAUGUGUAGGAUAGGUGGGAGGCUUUGAAGUGUGGACGCCAGUCUGCAUGGAGCCGACCUUGAAAUACCACCCUUUAAUGUUUGAUGUUCUAACGUGGACCCGUAAUCCGGGUUGCGGACAGUGUCUGGUGGGUAGUUUGACUGGGGCGGUCUCCUCCUAAAGAGUAACGGAGGAGCACGAAGGUUGGCUAAUCCUGGUCGGACAUCAGGAGGUUAGUGCAAUGGCAUAAGCCAGCUUGACUGCGAGCGUGACGGCGCGAGCAGGUGCGAAAGCAGGUCAUAGUGAUCCGGUGGUUCUGAAUGGAAGGGCCAUCGCUCAACGGAUAAAAGGUACUCCGGGGAUAACAGGCUGAUACCGCCCAAGAGUUCAUAUCGACGGCGGUGUUUGGCACCUCGAUGUCGGCUCAUCACAUCCUGGGGCUGAAGUAGGUCCCAAGGGUAUGGCUGUUCGCCAUUUAAAGUGGUACGCGAGCUGGGUUUAGAACGUCGUGAGACAGUUCGGUCCCUAUCUGCCGUGGGCGCUGGAGAACUGAGGGGGGCUGCUCCUAGUACGAGAGGACCGGAGUGGACGCAUCACUGGUGUUCGGGUUGUCAUGCCAAUGGCACUGCCCGGUAGCUAAAUGCGGAAGAGAUAAGUGCUGAAAGCAUCUAAGCACGAAACUUGCCCCGAGAUGAGUUCUCCCUGAGACUUUAGGUCUCCUGAAGGAACGUUGAAGACGACGACGUUGAUAGGCCGGGUGUGUAAGCGCAGCGAUGCGUUGAGCUAACCGGUACUAAUGAACCGUGAGGCUUAACCUUACAACGCCGAAG
rnacentral:rRNA from 2 species